UUGUACUAUCAGAAGAGUAGCUUUUCAAAGAAUUCUUUAGGAAGUUGACGGUUGUGCAAGUCAAUGUUUUCAGAAAAGUGAAUGGGCUGAUAAUAACAAAAAAUGAUUUUAAGCAAUAUAAAUCACGGCUGCUCCCGUUAAAAAAGCACUCGUUCCUAGGACGAGCUAGAGGAAAUUCUUAAGGAAUUUCGAAUUACGGUGGUACCGCGUGUUAACGCCCGUAAA
rnacentral:ncRNA from 1 species